rnacentral:rRNA from 1 species
UGGUCAAGUUAUUAAGGGUGCAGGGCGGAUGCCUUGGCACUAGGAGCCGAUGAAGGACGUGAUAAGCUGCGAUAAGCUUCGGGGAGUUGCACGUAAACUUUGAUCCGAAGAUUUCCGAAUGAGGAAACUCACUUAGAGUAAUGUCUAAGUAUCAUUAAGUGAAUACAUAGCUUAAUGAGGGGAACUCAGGGAA